UACGUAGGGGCCUAGCGUUGUCCGGAUUUAUUGGGCGUAAAGAGCUCGUAGGCGGCUUGGUUAGUCAGGUGUGAAAUCUCCACGCUCAACGUGGAGGGGCCACCUGAUACUGCCAUGGCUUGAGUCCGGUAGGGGAGUGUGGAAUUCCCGGUGUAGCGGUGAAAUGCGCAGAUAUCAGGAGGAACACCGGUGGCGAAGGCGGGUCUCUGGGCCGUAACUGACGCUGAGGAGCGAAAGCGUGGGGAGCGAACAGG
rnacentral:rRNA from 1 species